rnacentral:rRNA from 1 species
GGGAAUUGUUCGCAAUGGGCGCAAGCCUGACGACGCAACGCCGCGUGGAGGAUGAAAAUCUUCGGGUCGUAAACUCCUGUCGAGUGGGAAGAAUAGUUUCCGGGCGAAUAUCCCGGGCGCCUGGCGGUACCACUAAAGGAAGCACCGGCUCACUCUGUGCCAGCAGCCGCGGUAAGACAGAGGGGGCAAGCGUUGUCCGGAUUUACUGGGCGUACAGCGCGCGCAGGCGGUCGUGUAGGUACCUGGUGACAGUCUCGGGCUCAACUCGAGGGGGUCUGGGUAGACCGCACGACUGGAGGCAGGGAGAGGGAUGUGGAAUACCCGGUGGAGCGGUGAAAUGCGUAGAGAUCGGGUGGAACACCAGUGGCGAAGGCGGCAUCCUGGCCCUGACCUGACGCUGAGGCGCGAGAGCGUGGGGAGCAAA